rnacentral:lncRNA from 1 species
UAUUACAUGCUCUAUACUUUGUUCAUUUCCUUAUGUGUUAUUUUCCAGUCUCAUAUGAUCCCCUUUUUUAUUUGCCGCAUGCUUUCUACCGUUGGUAAAUUGCUCCAAUAAUUAAGGGAGAGUUGUCUGAUUUUUUAUUCUUAAUUGAUUCUGUAGUUCUAUAAUUGUUUCUUGCCUUAUUGACUUGACUUUCAAACUAUUAUAUAUACCCUCUUCUCUUUUCAUUACACACAUGAACAAUGACACUAUUCCGAACUCUCUCUUACACACAUACAUACUCUCUUGCUUCUCUUAGUAUUUACUUGAUACUCAGUCAGUUGCAAGCAAAAAAUGAGUGAUUACAUUUAUCUACUACUCUAUUGUGCUACUGCUCUAUUGCUCUACACAUUAUUUCUCUACUCCCAUUCAUUGUACUGCUCUUCACUCCUCACUCUGCACUUAUUCUCUCAUUUUUACUAGUAUGUGUCAAAUUUAACUUACAGAAUCUAGAACAAUAUGUCUCUAUUUGUAUUGCACUUCCUUUUGUUUCUCUUAUGCUUCUACUUGUGGUUCUGUUGUCUCCCUUGCAAUUAGCAUAACUACUUUUCCAUGUGAUUACAUGUUCCCUAUAAUUUAGCAUGUCUACAGCUUUCUUACAUAUUCUACUACUAUUCUUCCCUACCCCCUAACCCCCAAUACAUUAUAAUCAUAACACCUAGUUACUAUGUGAUCCUAAACCCUUCCUCCCUAAACCUAUUGUGUAACUCUAUUUAGCACCCUUAAAUCUAAUGUUGUUAAGCUACUGGCAUGAAUACUUUGUGAUAGACUAUUAAUGUGACUAUUCAAGUUCUGUAGUACUUAUCUGGUGUUAACCUGUGUGCAAAUAUGCUUUCGCAUAUGAAUUACUUGUCCCUAAUUCCUCCUUUCCCAGUUUGUGUUUGAACUAUGUAUGUUGAUUUGGUUUUGAUUUGCUGAUUGUACUUUUUCUUUUCUUCUUCAAAUCGGUUUUCACUAAGGCAAACUCUUCUAUUUCUUUCCAAAACUUAUUUUAAACUAAUCAUUAUCAAAAUUAUUUCCAACUCAACUCUUUUAAACCUAUGUUAAAGCACUCUGACUCUACUCUUAGUCCACUAAGUUCUACCCUUUUGUGUGAGCCUUGCCUUGGGAACCUUGAGCUUCCUCUGAACUUGGACACACAAAAGCUGGCCUUUUCACACUGCACUUACUCUGUCUUGGCUAUGAAAUCUGGGUGUGAGCACUGCUCGGGAUCCCUUGAGGUCCUUAGGGAGCUCUAAUACACCUAUAUAUGAGAAAGACUAUGGAACAAUCUUGGCACUUGAGGUGUUUAUUACAUAACUCGGGGAGAAAGUCCUAAUCAGGCGCUAAAAAACUG